rnacentral:rRNA from 1 species
AUUCCAGCUCCAAUAGCGUAUAUUAAAGUUGUUGCAGUUAAAACGCUCGUAGUCGGAUUUCGGGGCGGCUUCGCCGGUCUGCCGAUGGGUAUGCACUGGCGAGGGCGUCCUUCCUUCCGGAGACUGGCCCUACUCUUAACUGAGCGGGGUCGGGAGUCGGAUCGUUUACUUUGAAAAAAUCAGAGUGUUUCAAGCAGGCAUAUCGUUCUUGCAUGGAUUAGCAUGGGAUAAUGAAAUAGGACUUUGGUGCUAUUUUGUUGGUUUCGAACACCGAAGUAAUGAUUAAUAGGGACAGUUGGGGGCAUUAGUAUUUAAUUGUCAGAGGUGAAAUUCUUGGAUUUACGGAAGACGAACGACUGCGAAAGCAUUUACCAAGGAUGUUUUCAUCG